AUUGAACGCUAGCGGCAUGCUUUACACAUGCAAGUCGAACGAGUGGCGGACGGGUGAGUAAUAUCUCGGAACGUGCCCAGUAGCGGGGGAUAACUACUCGAAACAGUGGCUAAUACCGCAUACUAUUAGAUCUGCCCAGAUCGGAUUAGCUAGUUGGUGGGGUAAAGGCUCACCAAGGCAACGAUCCGUAGCUGGUUUGAGAGGAUGACCAGCCAAACUGGAACUGAGACACGGUCCAGACUCCUACGGGAGGCAGCAGUGGGGAAUUUUGGACAAUGGGGGAAACCCUGAUCCAGCCAUCCCGCGUGUAUGAGAAGGCCUUCGGGUUGUAAAGUACUUUUGGCGGAGAAGCGGUAUCUGCAGAAGAAGCACCGGCUAACUACGUGCCAGCAGCCGCGGUAAUAC
rnacentral:rRNA from 1 species